CUUGUUUUGAAAUCCGAGAUAUAGUAUUUUUGGAAUGAAUCUUUAAAUAACAGAACGGAAUUGUUGAUUUGUGUUUUAACCAUCAGUCUGUAGGAUGCUUAUUUUUUAAUUCUUUAAUGUAUGAUAUAAGAAAUGUGGGACAUAGACAUGGUUAUAUAGUAGCAUGGUUAAGGGAUAUAUUUAACAGAGUGAAAAAUGGUUUAAUGCAACAAAGGGAAAAUGUCCUGCCAAGAGAUAACUUUAUGACUGUGCCACACCAUCUAGCUAAGUUGAAUUGUGUAAAAGAGGUGGCUAGAAAAAGUAAGAAAAAGUUAGCGUAUAAAAGAAACCUAACCCUUUUUGACACCUUAAAGAAUGAAAAAGAUAAAUGGAAGUAGAAUGAAAGAAAGGGGGUUUAUAAAAACCCAUUAGUUGAUAAUGUUACAGAGAAGCAAUUAGCUUAUGUAGGAGUGACAAUGAGAACUAUAGAAAGACGAGUAGAAGAGCACAAGAAAGACAUCUUACAAGCAAAUCUAAAUACAGCCCUUGCAACAGUGGCUUACGAAAAAGAUGUUACGAUAAAGUGGGAUGAGGUGAAAUGUGUUCAGACAUUAAG
rnacentral:lncRNA from 1 species